CCUACGGGAGGCAGCCGUGAGGAAUAUUGGUCAAUGGACGAGCGUCUGCACCAGCCAAGUAGCGUGAAGGCUGACUGCCCUAUGGGUUGUAAACUUCUUUUAUAAACGCAUAACACGAGGCACGUGUGCCUUUUUGCAUGUACUUUAUGCAUAAGGAUCGGCUAACUCCGUGCCAGCAGCCGCGGUCAUACGGAGGAUCCGAUCGUUAUCCGGCUUUAUUGGGUUUACAGGGAGCGUAGAUGGGUUGUUAAGUCAGUUGUGCAAGUUUGCGGCUCAACCGUAAAAUUGCAAUGGAUACUGGCAGUCUUGAGUACAGUUGAGGUAGGCGGAAUUCGUGGUGUAGCGGUGAAAUGCUGAGAUAUCGCGAAGAACCCCGAUUGCGAAGGCAGCUUACGAAACUGUGACUGACAUUGAUGCUCGAAAGUGUGGGUAUCAAACAGGAUUAGAUACCCGAGUAGUC
rnacentral:rRNA from 1 species